GAUGAACGCUGGCGGCGUGCCUAAUACAUGCAAGUCGAGCGAACGGACGAGAUGCUUGCUUCUCUGAUGUUAGCGGCGGACGGGUGAGUAACACGUGGAUAACCUACCUAUAAGACUGGGAUAACUUCGGGAAACCGGAGCUAAUACCGGAUGAUAUUUUGAACCGCAUGGUUCAAAAGUGAAAGACGGUCUUGCUGUCACUUAUAGAUGGCUCCGCGUUGCAUUAGCAAGUUGGUAAGGUAACGGCUUACCAAGGCAACGAUGCAUAGCCGACCCGAAGGAGUGGUCCGCCACCCUGGAAGUGAGGCACAGCCGAGACACUGAGGGGGGGCCGCGGGAGGGAAUCUUCCGCGAUGGGCGAGAGCGUGACGGAGCAACGCCGCGUGAGUGCUGAAGCUCUUCGGAUGGGAAAACUCUGUUAGUAGUGGAGAACAUAUGCGCAAGUAACUGUGCACAUCUUGACGGUACCUAAAGAGAAAGCCCCGGCUAACUACGUG
rnacentral:rRNA from 1 species